UGUGGGGGCCCUUCUUCUUCAUCAUCUUCCUCGGUCUCACCGUCUCCAGGUCGGCCUCCGUUAAGAGAUAAUUUUUUUCAAAAAACUAAGAAGAGACAGCUUACUGCAGCUUGGAUCAAGGGGGAAGGUGUUAAGAUCUAGUUGUUGGCUAUAAUCUGGUGUGUGCAGAAUGGAUAUUGUGGACUCCGACAGCAACAGAUAUCCUUAUUUAAG